UCGUAACAAGGUUUCCCUAGGUGUACCUGCGGAAGGAUCAUU
rnacentral:rRNA from 1 species